rnacentral:misc_RNA from 1 species
UUGCCAGGACGCCAUAGAGAG